GCUUCGCCUGUUCCGCUAUGCACGUUGUGCGGUGAUUUCGUUCUGGAAAGUCCGAUAUGCCUUGUUGCUGCGCGUUUGGGUGCCGAAACCGGACGGAAGACGGCAAGAAGUUAUUUUGCAUCCCGCGGGCAAACAGAACCUAACCAGAAGAAAAGUGUGGUUGCACAGAAUUGGACGGAAAGACUUCGAACCGUCGGCCACUGCACGACUAUGCGAGGACCAUUUCACCGAAGACCAGUUUGAACCGAUUAUUCUCAAGAAUACCGGUGAAAAGAAGCUAAGGCCAUUUGCGACGCCAAGCAUCUUUUUGCAUCGACCAGUAGCAAAGCCCUGCAAGCCACCCCCUAAAAAGAACAAGAGUGGACAGUACUGAUGACCCCAAAGUCAAGCAAAACACACAGGUCGAUGUCGAACCCCAGCCAGUGGACACCGAGAAUGAUGUUCCUGAUAUGCAACCAGACC